rnacentral:antisense_RNA from 1 species
GAGGGAAGAUAGGUGAUUGGGGGAGGAGAAGGGGGUUUGAGACUGUGAGAGGAACUAGCUGCUGAGAGUCCGAAGAGCCUGGGAAGAGAAAAGAAAGUACAGAGAAAAAAAAAGAAUGGAAUACACAUGAAUGCCGAACCACAUUGGGUAUGUAGCUGUUCAUGAAGAUAUUCCAGGGAAGGCCUAUCUAGUAGAGCCUCAAAUCUAUUUGAAUAAAAAUGGCACUCAUUAAGGACAUCUGUCUUCUGUAAUGUCUACACAAAGUCUUACCAGGGGUCUUCUUGGCUCUUACUGACGGCUGAUGAAGGAGGGGUUUAUAAAGAAAACAAGCCAAAACCUGAAGAACUCACUACUGAGAGCAGCACACAUAUUUUCCCAAAGUGCAAAGUUGAGAAGAAGAAGUACAAAGCUUUGUUAAUAUUCUGAACAGUACUGCUUAGUAUGAUCUAAUUGAUGGAUUUUCCAUGGACUCCCUAGAGACUGAAAAAGGUUUGACUGUCAGGAAACUUUUCUUGUGUUUAUUCUUCAAUUUUCCUUUUCCUACUUCCCAAUCAUCAUUCCCUAUUAACAUCCCUUGAUGGGUCACCUUAAGUGAUUCUUCUUUUUAAUGACAUUUAUAACGUUUAAUAUUUCCCUGUUAGUUUCUAUUCCGACGAAGUACAUAUUUUUUUUAAUCUUCACUCAUAACAUUAAUAAAUUUUUCC